UAUUUUCAUUCUUAUCAGAUAUCUAACCGCUCUAAUUAGAUAAAUGACUUUGAACUAUAGAUUAUAUUUAUAAAAAGAUACAAAUUUAUGUUAUCAAAUAUUUUUAAUAAAUAUGUUGGGCCAUAGUUUUUAUUCUUUUUCUAUGAUAAUUGGGUUAAAAUUUUAUUAUUUGAAAGCCCAUUUAUCAUCUUUAAAGCCCAAUUAUUAUUAUAAGCUCAUAUGUCUUUCUUUAAUUAAAAUGAGAUGUUACGUGGUUCAGUUUUUCCUUAGCCAAAUAUUCUGAUUUAAUCUCCUUCAGCCACCUAAUUUUAUUCAGCCACGUAUCACUCACUGCUAUCACAUUUAAAUUCACCCAAAUAACCUACUAGGUUUCAUUUCAUCAAAAUUUUCCAGAGCACAAAUUUCAUUCAGGUUAACAGACUUCUCAUUUCUGAUAUUUCCUUCACAAAACUUCAGUUGGUAAUUUUAUUGUUUCUGUGAGAUUUCAUGUUUUAAUUUAUCACAGCAAAUUACUACGUUUUUCUUUCAUUCUCAUUUAUUUUGUGAAACAACACAAGCCCAUUAAACCAAACCCCUCUGUACAUAUGCACAUAACCAAAAUUCCUUAAAAAGAAAAUCUUUUAUAAGAAAUCAUUUUGAAUAAAUUCAUUUCCGUAAGUAUUUGACAAACAUCACAGCAGCAAACUUUGAUUUCUACAGCAGCAAACUUUGAUCAGCAAACUUUGAUUUCUUUCACAUUCAAAUCUUUGACGAACAAGUAAUUUACUACCUAUUUAAAUAUGACCAUCAUCGCUGCAAAUUUUACAAAGCAAAACUAUACUUUCGGAAAAAUCAAGUUUUUCUUUAUUUUCCCAAAUGUUUUUUAUAUGAAUUUGGACCUCAAUAAAUUAUAGCUUAUUUAUAUUGGAGCAGAUUUAUGAUGUUGGGCCAAAUAUAUUAUGUAACUUUGCAUAAUUUUAAAACAUUAGCUAUUAUUAAAUAUAAAUUUUAUUCUUAACAUUUUAGUAUAAUUUGGGCCUUGUAUAAAAUAUUUUUGUAGGCUAUUUGUUUGAGCCUCACUUGUAUUCAUGGGGUAAAAAUAUUGAAAAGCCCAUAAUAUUUUAGAUACUUAUCGAAUGUGAUUCUUUAAAUUUUUGUAGAAUUUCAACCACAACUUUAAUUCUUCCAGUUUAAGAAUCCUCCUCAGCCAUCCAAUUUAUUUAGUCAAUCUUGUGCAAUAAGGAAUUCAUUUUAUCCUUUCCACCGCCUCACUUUUUUAUAAAAUUAGCUUCUCUCAUUUUCUGGAAAUAUUUCGAAAAUACAGCUAGCCAAUUUUGAUUUCCACAGCAGCAAAUUUAGCAGCAAAUUUUGAAGCAGCCAACUUUGAAGCAACAAAGUUUGAUUGAUCUCUUUUCACACUUUCACACGUUCUAUGUCAAAUAUUUCAAUCUAUUUAAACAUCAUUGUAUCAUUCUCAAAUUCACAAAUCAACAAAAAUUCACUCAAAUAUUUCCAAUUCGCAGCAACUGAUUUAUUUCACUCAUUCAAGCUGGUAAUUUUAAUAACUUUUUGAAAAGUUAUUUCAUUUCAAGCAUAUCAACAAUUUUCUGCAUUUUCGCCAAAACCAAGGCUAAACAUCAAAAACUUUGUUUUCAAAAUCCAAUCAUGCAUACAUCUAUUUUUCUGUAAUUUAUAUAUAUUGCUAAAUACAUGAAAAAGAAAAUAGAAUAAAUCUUAUAUAUUACAUGGGAAAUAGAGAUAGAAGAAGUGGAAGAGGGAUGGUGCCUAGGAUACGGGGAGCUGUUGAACAGCGCCGCCGGUGCUACGCGCCACGGCGGCCGGCGGGAGAAGACAGAGGCGGCGACGGUGGUUUGGUUUGGCAGCACCGGAUCUGGAAAGGGAGGCAGCCUGACCGGCUGCUGCUGCCGGCCAAAGGAGAGGUGGGAGGCAUGGACGGGGUGGUGGCGCUGGCAGGCGGCGUGCCGUCUGGUGGUGGCGGCGGUAGGAGGCUGAGAGGGAGAGAAGAAGAGAGGGAGUGAACGGUUGAGAGAGAGCGGCAGAGAGAAUGAAGAGGUGCGACGCGACUAGGACGUGAACUUUAAAUUCUUGCAGUUAAUUUUCAAAGCUCAAAAGUUCAAGUUUCAGGUGUGGGAUUUAUUUCAGUACAUGCACGUGGUUAAUAUUUGUCCAUUUUAAUAUUAUGUGUUUACCGUAUGUGUUGUAAAAAUAUUUAUCGCUAGGGGCCAGCAUAAUUGGUCCAGGACUUCACCGUCCUUGGUAUGCCACAAAUGCGAUUUCAUGUUACAGGGUUGCAACCAUUAUAUUGUCGCCAGGGAUCCAUAUAUAGGGUCCGGGACAUUAAAGUCCUUGGAGUUGCCACAGUGCGUAUGGAAGUUAUGUUACGUUAUGACAAUAUGUGUUACCAUUUUAUUAACAUGGACAAUUAUUGCAUGUUCCCACACUGAGUGUACCCUGUAUGCUCAUCCCAUAUUCAACAGUUUCAGGUGAUUGAUAUCGGAGGCGCGUGGAGAGUCGAAUGGGCGCGUCGAAUCUAUUUAAAGAUAAAUGUUUCCUAAAACAUAUUAUGUUAUUUCAUGUGAUAUCUCUUGAUUAUGUAAACUCUGAAAUUCUAUACUAUUUGAGAUUUGUGUGUGAUUUGUUUAAAUAAAUGUUGUUAUAUUAUUUUAAUGUCAUGACUUGUUUAAUUUAUAUUUAAAUUCAUUUCAAAUAUUUAUUUAAGAAUUUAUAUCUUUACGAAAAUAUAUACAUGGAUACAUACAUAAUUUUUAAUUAUAUAAAGAUUUUAUUUUGUUAUAUUUUCCGCUGCUAAAAAGAUAUUAUUUUAUAUUUAGAGUUUUUCCUUAGUACAAGUUUUAUUAAUUAGUUAAUUAUUUUUCUGACAUCUUCAUGUCGUGCUUUGAAAAUAAAGUUGUUAAAUUUAUGAUUUAAAAAUCAAGAUUUAUAUUUGAAUACAUUAUUGAAAAUUUUUGAUAUCUUAUAAAUCGUUUUAAAAGUGCUUUAAAAACCAAUUUUAUUUAAAGGUUUCUUUUUCUUAAAAUUAUUUUCGAAAAUAUUUAUUUUAAAAGUGAGUUUUAAAUUAUUUUAAAAGACUUCCGCAUUAAAUAUUUAUUUAAAUUUUAUAUUUAACUCCUUAAUUAGAUUAGGGUGUUACAACAUGGUAUCAGAGCAGGUCUACUUUCCUGUAGACUCUGCAAAAUAUUUUACAUAAAAUUCUUAAAUGUCAUGUGUGAGAAAAUCCAUUCGACCUCUACGUGCUCCGACUUCAAGGUAAAUGUAUUUUAAAAGUAUUUCAAAAUAUUUUUAUAGGGAUGAGUAUAAAUUGUUUACGUUGAAAGUAUGUUGAAAUUUGCUGCAAUAAUUGAAGUUAUUAUCAGAAAGUUCAAGUUCAUUAUGCAAGUUAUUAUGAGAAAGUUUAGUAUUCAAAUUAUAUGUUGAAGAUUAUUGCAGCUAUGAGUAAAGAUAUUUCAAAUAUUUUUCAAGAGGAUGAGUAUAAAUUAUUUACGUUGAAAGUAUAGUGAAUUUGCUACAAUGAUUGAAGUUAUUAUGUGAAAAUGUUCAAGUUCAGUAUUCAAGUUAUUAUGUUGAAGAUUAUUGCAACUAUGAAUUGUCAAAUUUCGAGGACGAAAUUCUUUUAAGUGGGUAGGUUUGUCACAGCCCAAAACCAUUUACUACCUUUGCAAAUUUUAUUUGAAAAUUUAUUGUAUUUUCGAGAUAUUAAAAAUAUAAAUCUAUGAGUCGAGUUUGUGAUGAAUUAUCUAGUCGCGCCCCUAGCUAGAUGUAUGACUCUAAAUUCUAGGUUAUACCUAUAGAAAUAAAGUUUUAUAUUCUAAAAUAUUUUUAUAUAAAUUUGGGCCUAAAUAAAUUUAUUUACUUAAAUAUAUUUAUCAUGGACAUUAUAUUAAUUUUGGAUUAAGAAUAAAAUAUUUUCAUAAUUUUUAUUAGUGUUGGGACUUAUUAUUAUUAAUGGGCCAAAUUCUUUUGCAAUGAUCCUAAAACAAUUAUUCAAGUUUCAACAUUUAUAGUUUAUUAAUGAUUUCAAGGAUUUGGAUACCUUAUUUUCGUAUCUGCAAAUUAACAAUUUCUACUCUAUUUAUUUACAUUUGUUUAAAGAAGUCUCCAAGCCAGCCAUUCCUAUUUUCAUUCUUAUCAGAUAUCUAACCGCUCUAAUUAGAUAAAUGACUUUGAACUAUAGAUUAUAUUUAUAAAAAGAUACAAAUUUAUGUUAUCAAAUAUUUUUAAUAAAUAUGUUGGGCCAUAGUUUUUAUUCUUUUUCUAUGAUAAUUGGGUUAAAAUUUUAUUAUUUGAAAGCCCAUUUAUCAUCUUUAAAGCCCAAUUAUUAUUAUAAGCUCAUAUGUCUUUCUUUAAUUAAAAUGAGAUGUUACGUGGUUCAGUUUUUCCUUAGCCAAAUAUUCUGAUUUAAUCUCCUUCAGCCACCUAAUUUUAUUCAGCCACGUAUCACUCACUGCUAUCACAUUUAAAUUCACCCAAAUAACCUACUAGGUUUCAUUUCAUCAAAAUUUUCCAGAGCACAAAUUUCAUUCAGGUUAACAGACUUCUCAUUUCUGAUAUUUCCUUCACAAAACUUCAGUUGGUAAUUUUAUUGUUUCUGUGAGAUUUCAUGUUUUAAUUUAUCACAGCAAAUUACUACGUUUUUCUUUCAUUCUCAUUUAUUUUGUGAAACAACACAAGCCCAUUAAACCAAACCCCUCUGUACAUAUGCACAUAACCAAAAUUCCUUAAAAAGAAAAUCUUUUAUAAGAAAUCAUUUUGAAUAAAUUCAUUUCCGUAAGUAUUUGACAAACAUCACAGCAGCAAACUUUGAUUUCUACAGCAGCAAACUUUGAUCAGCAAACUUUGAUUUCUUUCACAUUCAAAUCUUUGACGAACAAGUAAUUUACUACCUAUUUAAAUAUGACCAUCAUCGCUGCAAAUUUUACAAAGCAAAACUAUACUUUCGGAAAAAUCAAGUUUUUCUUUAUUUUUCCAAAUAUUUUUAUAUGAAUUUGGACCUCAAUAAAUUAUAGCUUAUUUAUAUUGGAGCAGAUUUAUGAUGUUGGGCCAAAUAUAUUAUGUAACUUUGCAUAAUUUUAAAACAUUAGCUAUUAUUAAAUAUAAAUUUUAUUCUUAACAUUUUAGUAUAAUUUGGGCCUUGUAUAAAAUAUUUUUGUAGGCUAUUUGUUUGAGCCUCACUUGUAUUCAUGGGGUAAAAAUAUUGAAAAGCCCAUAAUAUUUUAGAUACUUAUCGAAUGUGAUUCUUUAAAUUUUUGUAGAAUUUCAACCACAACUUUAAUUCUUCCAGUUUAAGAAUCCUCCACAGCCAUCCAAUUUAUUUAGUCAAUCUUGUGCAAUAAGGAAUUCAUUUUAUCCUUUCCACCGCCUCACUUUUUUUAUAAAAUUAGCUUCUCUCAUUUUCUGGAAAUAUUUCGAAAAUACAGCUAGCCAAUUUUGAUUUCCACAGCAGCAAAUUUAGCAGCAAAUUUUGAAGCAGCUAACUUUGAAGCAACAAAGUUUGAUUGAUCUCUUUUCACACUUUCACACGUUCUAUGUCAAAUAUUUCAAUCUAUUUAAACAUCAUUGUAUCAUUCUCAAAUUCACAAAUCAACAAAAAUUCACUCAAAUAUUUCCAAUUCGCAGCAACUGAUUUAUUUCACUCAUUCAAGCUGGUAAUUUUAAUAACUUUUUGAAAAGUUAUUUCAUUUCAAGCAUAUCAACAAUUUUCUGCAUUUUCGCCAAAACCAAGGCUAAACAUCAAAAACUUUGUUUUCAAAAUCCAAUCAUGCAUACAUCUAUUUUUCUGUAAUUUAUAUAUAUUGCUAAAUACAUGAAAAAGAAAAUAGAAUAAAUCUUAUAUAUUACAUGGGAAAUAGAGAUAGAAGAAGUGGAAGAGGGAUGGUGCCUAGGAUACGGGGAGCUGUUGAACAGCGCCGCCGGUGCUACGCGCCACGGCGGCCGGCGGGAGAAGACAGAGGCGGCGACGGUGGUUUGGUUUGGCAGCACCGGAUCUGGAAAGGGAGGCAGCCUGACCGGCUGCUGCUGCCGGCCAAAGGAGAGGUGGGAGGCAUGGACGGGGUGGUGGCGCUGGCAGGCGGCGUGCCGUCUGGUGGUGGCGGCGGUAGGAGGCUGAGAGGGAGAGAAGAAGAGAGGGAGUGAACGGUUGAGAGAGAGCGGCAGAGAGAAUGAAGAGGUGCGACGCGACUAGGACGUGAACUUUAAAUUCUUGCAGUUAAUUUUCAAAGCUCAAAAGUUCAAGUUUCAGGUGUGGGAUUUAUUUCAGUACAUGCACGUGGUUAAUAUUUGUCCAUUUUAAUAUUAUGUGUUUACCGUAUGUGUUGUAAAAAUAUUUAUCGCUAGGGGCCAGCAUAAUUGGUCCAGGACUUCACCGUCCUUGGUAUGCCACAAAGCGAUUUCAUGUUACAGGGUUGCAACCAUUAUAUUGUCGCCAGGGAUCCAUAUAUAGGGUCCGGGACAUUAAAGUCCUUGGAGUUGCCACAGUGCGUAUGGAAGUUAUGUUACGUUAUGACAAUAUGUGUUACCAUUUUAUUAACAUGGACAAUUAUUGCAUGUUCCCACACUGAGUGUACCCUGUAUGCUCAUCCCAUAUUCAACAGUUUCAGGUGAUUGAUAUCGGAGGCGCGUGGAGAGUCGAAUGGGCGCGUCGAAUCUAUUUAAAGAUAAAUGUUUCCUAAAACAUAUUAUGUUAUUUCAUGUGAUAUCUCUUGAUUAUGUAAACUCUGAAAUUCUAUACUAUUUGAGAUUUGUGUGUGAUUUGUUUAAAUAAAUGUUGUUAUAUUAUUUUAAUGUCA